UCUUAUACUUGAUACUUCAAUCAAGCUAAGUCAUGGCGGCUUAUGGUGCUGCAAUUUCUCUCAAGAAUACCAUUCAGACUAUUCUACAAUCAUCUCGCAUUUCACUAGUUCCUCCCUCUCCACAAAUCUUACAACCCGCCUACGAUGCCAUGGCUCGUUUGCAGAAAGCUCUGCUAAAAUUGGAGGAGACUAGCUACAGCAAGAUCCGGACGAAGGUGAAUGAUGUCGACGACCGAAUCAAAGAGGCCGUGUGGGAAUUCGAAGAUUUACUCGAAUCUCAUGUGUAUGAACAAAUUCUUCCACGAGUCGAAAGUGAGAGAGAUCAUUUGUCUUUCUCGGUAGAUCUGCAGAGUCUCCGACAGAGCGUUGAUUGCUUUGUGGAGAAGGUGGCUGUCAUGGAGGCGGAGUUCGAUAUCGAACUAUAUAAUAUGCCUGAAGAAGAAGGUGAACCUCUUUCCUUAAGAAUUGAUUUUGGUGGAAUCGAUUCAAACAUGGUUGGAAAUGGAAUAUCCGAAGAAUUUGUAGCUGUCAGGAAUGGUCUUUGUGCACAAGAUGGCAGUAGUUGGUUGCUACCAGUUAUUGGGAUGGCAGGAAUUGGAAAAACAGCAUUUGCUAAGAAAUUAUUUGAUGAUCCAUUAAUUAAGAGUCAUUACGAACUUCGAGCAUGGGUCAAAGUGGGCAGAAAAUGUGAAUCCAAUGAAAUAUUGCGAUGCAUUUUAGCUCAAGUGGAUCCCAGCACUAGUGACCAAAUGCUUACCCAAGGAGACAACGAUGACCAUGAGGAACUAGUUCGAUUGUUGGAAGAGAGGUUGAAGGAUAAGAAAUGUCUCAUUGUGUUGGAUGAUGUGUGGAAAUGGGAUACACAGUUAGUGGAUAAAUUGCCAAAAGAGAAUGUUGGAAUCUUGCUUACAAGCCGACAACAAAUUAAAGAAUGUAGAAUUGAGUGCCGACUGUGCUUGUUGAAUGAUGAAGAAAGUAAGAAAUUACUUGGCGAGAGGGUGUUUGGUCCAAAGGGUUUCCCUCCUAACCUUGAUAAACUAGGAGAGAAGAUUGCAAAAAAAUGUGAAGGUCUUCCACUUAUGAUAGUCACAAUUGCGGAGCUCCUAUCUAAAGAGGAAACAACCACAGAAAAUUGGACUGAGGUAGCUGAAAAACAACAUAAUUCAGUAUUCGUGGAUGCAUAUGAUAAGAUCGCAGAGGUACUUUCCCCAAGCUAUGACUACUUACCUCAAAAAUUGAAAAUGUUAUUUCUUUAUUUGGGAGCUUACCCUCCAUAUACUGAUAUUCCACCAAGCGUCAUCUUAAACCGGUUGAUAACUGAGGGGUUUCUUGAAUCUUUUGGUAAACAAAUUCUGGAUGGAGUAACUUUUGAUCAUCUUUUGCAUGAAUGGGUGACACACCUUGCUUCCGGGUACCAUGUUGUUCUAUUCAAUCUCACUCUAAAUUCUUGGUUUUCAAAGCUAAUUUUUCGUGUGCAUUCUUGCUGGCAGCACUUUUGUAAGAAAGAAGCAACUAGGAUUAAGUUUUUGCAUGUUUUACAAAGCAACGAUGAUGUUGUGAAAGAUCAACGUCGGUUGUGUGCCCAUCACAUCUCUUUAUUUUGCUUCAAAGAAGUGUGUGAAAAUAUAAAAAAAGAUUGUGCAUCCAAUGUACGUUCUCUCCUUUGUCUUGGUCCUAGCCACGCUUAUGCGAUGCCAAUACAUGCAAUGGAUUUCAAGUUGCUCAAGGUACUGGAAGCUGGAAUGGUCCGAUUUUAUCAUUUCCCACUUGAAAUUUUCAAAUUAAUUUGUCUAAAGUACCUUUGCAUAACCUGCAACAAAGAGAUCCCAGUUUCUAUAUCCAACCUUUUCCACCUUCAAAUCUUGAUUAUCAAUCAACAUAUGAACAUUAAGACACGCGGAGCUUUGUCAUGUAUGCCGGUGGAAGUAUGGGACAUGCAAGAACUACAACAUAUUGAGGUAUGGGGAAAAGACCUACCGACUCCUAAUUCUUCUGUUGCUGCAUUGGAUAGACUUUCCAGUCUUAAGGGUGUGAGUGUAAAGAGUUGCACAAGAGAAAUUCUCAAGAGAAUCCCGAACUUAAAGGGAUUAGGAAUUGUGGUAGAAUUGCGGCCUUAUGAUGAAGAUGAUGAUAGAAACCCAUUGAGUAACCUGGGUAAUAUAUCAGAGGUACUCAAGUAUUUGAAAAUGCUUACAUAUACUGUGAAGUAUCCUGAUAUUAAGCGUGAGUGUAUGGUUCCUCUAUCAAUGUUCCCGUCAAGUUUGACAGCGUUAUAUUUGAGUGGCUUAGGGUGUCUAUGGGAGCACAUGAAUGUCAUAGGUUCGAUGCUACCAAAUCUUGUGUAUCUCAAUUUAGAAAGCUAUGCCUUUCGAAGCCCCGAGUGGAAUAUAGAAGCAGGGAGUUUUUUGAAACUUGAGACCGUUAAAAUUGAGGACACUGAUUUGGUGCGAUUGAUAGCUCAACAAGGAAGUCUCCCAAGGCUCAAACUCCUAAGCAUACGCCAUUGCUACAAAUUAAAACAAUUCGAUUGGACGCGUGAUCCCUCAAUGGUCACCACUACAAUUGAGUUAGUUGAGUGCCAUCCCUUAGCCGCCGAUUCUGCCAUGCAAUUAAGACCUGAAUCUGUCUUUACAAUUCGUUGUUACUCUUCUUUUUGAAUUCCUAGCUCGAUCGACUCUCAACUUGGUUAACGGGAAAUGAGAGGGCAAAAGGGGUCAGAUUGCAAGUGAAAAACACUUUAUUUUACUGGGUCUAACGCAAUUUUUAAGUCGGAAUCGCUAGAUCUAGGAAGAGCUGGAGGCAAUGGACUAGCGAAGGAAAACAAAGGGAAGUGAGCAGAGUUGAAGAGAAAAGAAAUGGUUGGACGAAGGGAGUCAAUAGCUGAGGGAAACAAAGACUAUUCAUACCUCGCUGGACCCACUUCUACGCCUAUAAAUAAAGGAGCAUGCAGCACACGCCAGAGAGAGGAUUUUGCUCUCAGCUCACACACUCACACACACACUAGGGAAAAAUGGGAAUUCUGGGAUAGUUAAGGGUUUCUAGGGGUUUCAUCUUCGGAAAAAGCUAGUGGUAACACCGUCCUCACGGAGGGCGAAGAAACAAUCAGUUUACACUCAGUUUUUUGCAUUUUUAUUCCGUCGAACUUUAUCGUUUUGGAAGUCGAUUUGGUUGCUGGCUA